rnacentral:RNase_P_RNA from 1 species
CCAGAGGGCCGGGCGGCCGCGGCCCCGCGCAAGCGGGGGCGAGGAAAGUCCGGGCUCCACGGAAAAACGGUGCCGGGUAACGCCCGGCGGUCCGCGCGCAAGCGGGGAUCAGGGACAGUGCCACAGAAAGCAUACCGCCCGGUUUCGGCCGGGUAAGGUCGAAAGGGUGCGGCAAGAGCGCACCGCGUCGCUGGAGACAGGGACGGCACGGUAAACCCCACCGGGUGCAAGACCGAAUAGGGGCGGCGCAUGAGCUUUUCCGGCUCGCCGCCCGGGUUGGUCGCUUGACCCCGAGCGCAAGCGCGGGGCUAGACGAAUGGCCGCACAGGCGCCGCAAGGCGCUGGACAGAACCCGGCUUACAGGCCCUCUGGCAAA